GUCUCAUCGAAAACAACUUCAGCAAAACAGUGGUUGUAUUUAGUGCUGCCAUGUUGUUAUGUAAGUGGCUAAGUUAGGAGCACUGUCCUUGGCAUUAAUGUGGCCUCAUGUAGCGUACCCUUUCUAUAUGUCCCCUACACUCGGAGUUAGUGUCAUCUGCUAUGUUGCCGUCUCGAAAGGCUAGUGCUAGUGUUAGCUGAGUGUGCCCCUGCUCUAUUACUUGUUGUAGUCUACAAGCUAGCAUGCGGUUAGCUGAGUCUAUGCCCGCCUGUCCGUGCUCCUAAAAAAAUUUUGUCUUGACUUGGGGCAGUGUGUGAGGAAAGGUAGGACCGACCUGUCUUGUCCUGUCAGGCAUCUCGGGCUAUACCGACCUGCUCGAGG